rnacentral:rRNA from 1 species
UGGGGAAUUUUGGACAAUGGGCGAAAGCCUGAUCCAGCAAUGCCGCGUGUGUGAAGAAGGCCUUCGGGUUGUAAAGCACUUUUGUCCGGAAAGAAAUCCUUGGCUCUAAUACAGUCGGGGGAUGACGGUACCGGAAGAAUAAGCACCGGCUAACUACGUGCCAGCAGCCGCGGUAAUACGUAGGGUGCAAGCGUUAAUCGGAAUUACUGGGCGUAAAGCGUGCGCAGGCGGUUUGCUAAGACCGAUGUGAAAUCCCCGGGCUCAACCUGGGAACUGCAUUGGUGACUGGCAGGCUAGAGUAUGGCAGAGGGGGGUAGAAUUCCACGUGUAGCAGUGAAAUGCGUAGAGAUGUGGAGGAAUACCGAUGGCGAAGGCAGCCCCCUGGGCCAAGUACUGACGCUCAUGCACGAAAGCGUGGGGAGCAAACAGGAUUAGAUACCCUGGUAGUCCACGCCCUAAACGAUGUCAACUAGUUGUUGGGGAUUCAUUUCCUUAGUAACGUAGCUAACGCGUGAAGUUGACCGCCUGGGGAGUACGGUCGCAAGAUUAAAACUCAAAU